UAUGAACGCUGGCGGCGUGCCUAAUACAUGCAAGUCGAGCGAACGGACGAGAAGCUUGCUUCUCUGAUGUUAGCGGCGGACGGGUGAGUAACACGUGGAUAACCUACCUAUAAGACUGGGAUAACUUCGGGAAACCGUAGCUAAUACCGGAUAAUAUUUUGAACCGCAUGGUUCAAAAGUGAAGGACGGUCUUGCUGUCACUUAUAGAUGGAUCCGCGCUGCAUUAGCUAGUUGGUAAGGUAACGGCUUACCAAGGCAACGAUGCAUAGCCGACCUGAGAGGGUGAUCGGCCACACUGGAACUGAGACACGGUCCAGACUCCUACGGGAGGCAGCAGUAGGGAAUCUUCCGCAAUGGGCGAAAGCCUGACGGAGCAACGCCGCGUGAGUGAUGAAGGUCUUCGGAUCGUAAAACUCUGUUAUUAGGGAAGAACAUAUGUGUAAGUAACUGUGCACAUCUUGACGGUACCUAAUCAGAAAGCCACGGCUAACUACGUG
rnacentral:rRNA from 1 species